rnacentral:rRNA from 1 species
AGAGUUUGAUCCUGGCUCAGGACGAACGCUGGCGGCGUGCUUAACACAUGCAAGUCGAACGGUAAGCGGUGUUGAAACUCCGUGGUAUUGGAUGGCCUCGCGGCCUAUCAGCUUGUUGGUGAGGUAGUGGCUCACCAAGGCUUCGACGGGUAGCCGGCCUGAGAGGGCGACCGGCCACACUGGGACUGAGAUACGGCCCUCUACGGGAGGCAGCAGUGGGGAAUAUUGCACAAUGGGCGAAGACUGAUGCAGCAACGCCGCGUGCGGGAUGACGGCCUUCGGGUUGUAAACCGCUUUCAACGCAGACGAAGCGAAAGUGACGGUAUGCGUAGAAGAAGCACCGGCCAACUACGUGCCAGGGGUGCGAGCGUUGUCCGGAAUUAUUGGGCGUAAAGAGCUUGUAGGCGGUUUGUUGCGUCAGAAGUGAAAUCUCAGUGCUUAACACUGAGCGUGCUUCUGAUACGGGCAGACUAGAGGAAGUUAGGGGAGACCGGAAUUCCUGGUGGACGUGAUAGGCUUAGAUACCCUUGUAGUCCACGCCGUAAACGGUGGGUACUAGGUGUGGGUUACAUUCCACGUGAUCCGUGCCGCAUAUAACGCAUUAAGUACCCGCCUGGGGAGUACGGGCGCAAGGCUAAAACUCAAAGGAAUUGACGGGGGCCCGCACAAGCGGCGGAGCAUGCGGAUUAAUUCGAUGCAACGCGAAGAACCUUACCUGGGUUUGACAUAUGCCGGAAACAUUCAGAGAUGGAUGUUCACUUUUUGGUCCGGUAUACAGGUGGUGCAUGGCUGUCGUCAGCUCGUGUCGUGAGAUGUUGGGUUAAGUCCCGCAACAGCGCAACCCUUUCCUUUGUUGCCAGCACGUAAUGGUGGGAACUCAAAGGAGACUGCCGGUGUCAAAUCGGAGGAAGGUGGGGAUGACGUCAAGUCAUCAUGCCCCUUAUGUCCAGGGCUUCACGCAUGCUACAAUGGCCGGUACAAAGGGCUGCGAACCUGUAAGGGUGAGCUAAUCCCAAAAAGCCGGUCUCAGUUCGGAUUGGGGUCUGCAACUCGACCCCAUGAAGUCGGAGUCGCUAGUAAUCGCAGAUCAGCAACGCUGCGGUGAAUACGUUCCCGGGCCUUGUACACACCGCCCGUCAAGUCACGAGAGUAGGUAACACCCGAAGCCGGUGGCCCAACCGUGAGGAGGGAGCUGUCGAAGGUGGGA